CAAAAAGUUAACCAGAACUCUUAUGGACUCCAUCUUCUCUUUCGAAGAGAUGGCAGCAUGAACGGAAAAAAAGGGGUUGUUGGUGAAAAAAGAGCCUUGACCUACAAAAGGUGCAGCUAAUAAUUGACCAUGUCAAAAAGAGGCACCCAGGCAUCGGAGGCACUGAGAUCAAGGUCUGCAUGGCACAAAAGUUAAAAGAUCUGAGGAGACGAGCAGAAAGGAUGCCUGCUGCAGGAGACACAAAGGACUGAGACAACACACUUUCACAAACGCACACCACACACACACACAUGCGCGUAUACCUGCGUUUUUU